GAGUGCUUUGGAUAGAUCCCACUUCAGCUCUGACAAGCACCAAAUCUGUCUGUAGAGGCUCCAGUUCGUUUCUUGAUUUGGGAUUUUUCCAAAUCUUUGGCACACCCACUAAUGACAAAGGGAGGGAUCCAGACAUCCAGAACAUUGGAAAAUAUAUGAUUCCUUUUUUUCUUUCUGUAUUGGAGUGGCCACAUCAGCAAGGUCAGUAAAGUAUUCCACCCAUGUUUGAAUAUGCAACCACUUUCUGGAGACUGCCUCACCAAUCCCUUUACUGAUGGGCCAAAAUCCUUCUCCUCUGCUUUUCCAUUUGAAACAGAUUCUACAUCCUAAUAAGCAAUCAUUCUCCUGACCGCUAUUAUACAUCUUACAAGAAUUUGCCAUGUUGCGCUCAACAUAUGAUAAAAGUUUGAAGAAAGAGAGGAGAACUGAAAGUGCUCGGAAACUGGUAGACCCAAGGCCCUUUCCAAAUGUAGGGUGAAACUAGGGUUGCCAGGUUCAUGGCCUGAGACUGAUCCAGUAUCUUUUGGAGAAGAGAAAGUCAGCCAAGUGCAGGUGUUCUUGCAACAUUGUUAUUGUUUUAUAUUAUUAUUUGUAUUAUUUUAAAUUGUUUUUAGAUUUUUAAGUGCCUUUUACGGUUUUAAGGUUGUGCACAGUUUAAUUGUAUUUUAAUGGUAUGUUUUCUAUGUUUUUAACUACAUGUAGUUCUAUUUGUAAGCAGCCCUGAGUUCCAGUUUGGAAAAAGGGCAGGGUAAAAAUAAAGUUUCAAUCAAUGAGAAAAACCACAAGAUGGAAUUCUUCCUUCCCCCUGCACAACUUUUAAAGAUACAGAAGACCUCUUGGAGGUCAGGCCGUGCAACCAAGGCUUCAGUUUCCUGUCUGAGAAUAAUAGCAAAUC